rnacentral:misc_RNA from 1 species
UUCCGCCGCCCAAUAUCUGAAGUCUAGUAUUUGCAAACAGUAGAAGAAGACGAGCGAAGAAUUAGUUAAUCGAAGUUGCAGAGCAGCAAGGCAAAGCUCUCAACGCCUCAGAAUGAGCAGCAAGCAGGGCCCUCCGAAGCACCAAAACAGAUACGCUUGGAAACCCAACGCCGGCCGGAAAAUCAACGAAACGGAGGUUGGAGGUAGAUUCCGCCCCUUUUCUGACAUCACCGGAGUUUGUCUCCGCUGCAAGGAUCAAAUUGAUUGGAAACGCCGUUACGGAAAGUACAAACCCCUUUCCGAACCUGCCAAAUGUCAAUUGUGUUCCAAGCGGAAUGUUCGUCAAGCGUAUCAUAAUCUCUGUCCUGGCUGUGCCAAGGAGCAAGGUGUAUGCGCAAAGUGUCGUUGUCGUGUAGAUCAAACUGUUGGAAGGGAUUUGUCUGAAGUGGAGGCUGAG